rnacentral:rRNA from 1 species
AACGAACGCUGGCGGCAUGCCUAACACAUGCAAGUCGAACGAGACCUUCGGGUCUAGUGGCGCACGGGUGCGUAACGCGUGGGAACCUGCCCUUAGGUUCGGAAUAACUCCCCGAAAGGGGUGCUAAUACCGGAUAAUGUCUUCGGACCAAAGAUUUAUCGCCUUUGGAUGGGCCCGCGUUGGUUUAGCUAGUUGGUAGGGUAAAAGCCUACCAAGGCGACGAUCCAUAGCUGGUCUGAGAGGAUGAUCAGCCACACUGGGACUGAGACACGGCCCAGACUCCUACGGGAGGCAGCAGUGGGGAAUAUUGGACAAUGGGCGAAAGCCUGAUCCAGCAAUGCCGCGUGAGUGAUGAAGGCCUUAGGGUUGUAAAGCUCUUUUACCCGGGAUGAUAAUGACAGUAACGGGAGAAUAAGCUCCGGCUAACUCCGUG